CGUAGGUAACCUGCCUGGUAGCGGGGGAUAACUAUUGGAAACGAUAGCUAAUACCGCAUAACAGUAGAUGUUGCAUGACAUUUGCUUAAAAGGUGCAAUUGCAUCACUACCAGAUGGACCUGCGUUGUAUUAGCUAGUUGGUGGGGUAACGGCUCACCAAGGCGACGAUACAUAGCCGACCUGAGAGGGUGAUCGGCCACACUGGGACUGAGACACGGCCCAG
rnacentral:rRNA from 2 species